UACGGGGGGAGCAAGCGUUGUUCGGAUUUACUGGGCGUAAAGGGCGCGUAGGCGGUCAGCACAAGUCAGUUGUGAAAUCUCCGGGCUUAACUCGGAAAGGUCAACUGAUACUGUGCGACUAGAGUGCGGAAGGGGCAACUGGAAUUCUCGGUGUAGCGGUGAAAUGCGUAGAUAUCGAGAGGAACACCAGUGGCGAAGGCGGCAUCCUGGACCGGCAUUGACGCUGAGGCGCGAAAGCUAGGGGAGCAAACGGG
rnacentral:rRNA from 1 species